GAGAGGUGAAAUAAGAGUGCUUUGUGCAAUAAACCUAAGGGCAUAAGUAGAGAAGAGUUAAGAGGUGUAGCUGAUUCUUCUCCGAUAAUUUUUAAUCAACUAUGCGAAUUGGACUGCAUUCUGGGUCGGUUUUUGCUGGAGUUGUUGGAGUUAAGAUGCCCCGUUACUGUCUUUUUGGCAACAAUGUCACCUUGGCUAACAAAUUUGAGUCCUGCAGUGUACCACGGAAAA